CAGGCAUGGAAGCUAGAUAUAACUGCUGCAAGGCUAUACACAAAGCACUGAUGCAGUCAAGUAAACUAUCCGUUGAUCCUGCUCUAGCAGCAAUAGAUGCAAAGCUGCAGGAAGCUAUUGGAAUGGGUCCAUAUCUUGGUAAAAGGCAUGCGGAAGCUCAACCUGUUGUGAUGACGGCUGAGAGAUUCUAAUUUAUGCAAAAGGUGUGGUCAUUGCAUGUGUUGCCUUGAGCAAAUAUAUGCAAUGGUAUCGUACUAAAGCCUUAGUGCUAGAAAGUGGGUCCAGUAAUGUUGGAACUGAAGACAAUGUUGGCACCAUGUCAUUAUCAGAUGUUUCAGAGUAAUUAUUUCCCUAUAUACGGGUAAAACGCUAGAUAUGCAUGAAUGGCUUUGAUCUGUGAUAGGGAUUAAAAAAACUAUUUUAUUAGAUGUUUCAGAGUAAUUAUCAUUCUGCACAAGUCCUUAUA